AUGUACCCACGUACACUCCGGUUCCUCCGCGCCGUCCGCACCCACCUGACGGCUGUUCGCUACGUUUUGUUAGCC
rnacentral:sRNA from 1 species